GGCCAUGCUCAGUAGUAGAGUAUGUGCUUGGCAUGCAAAAGGUCCCAGGUUCAAUCCCUGGCAUCUCCA
rnacentral:tRNA from 1 species